rnacentral:rRNA from 1 species
UAGGGAAUCUUCCACAAUGGACGCAAGUCUGAUGGAGCAACGCCGCGUGAGUGAAGAAGGUUUUCGGAUCGUAAAGCUCUGUUGUUGGUGAAGAAGGAUAGAGGUAGUAACUGGCCUUUAUUUGACNGUAAUCAACCAGAAAGUCACGGCUAACUACGUGCCAGCAGCCGCGGUAAUACGUAGGUGGCAAGCGUUGUCCGGAUUUAUUGGGCGUAAAGCGAGCGCAGGCGGAAAAAUAAGUCUAAUGUGAAAGCCCUCGGCUUAACCGAGGAACUGCAUCGGAAACUGUUUUUCUUGAGUGCAGAGGAGGAGAGUGGAACUCCAUGUGUAGCGGUGGAAUGCGUAGAUAUAUGGAAGAACACCAGUGGCGAAGGCGGCUCUCUGGUCUGCAACUGACGCUGAGGCUCGAAAGCAUGGGUAGCGAACAGGAUUAGAUACCCUGGUAGUCCAUGCCGUAAACGAUGAGUGCUAAGUGUUGGGAGGUUUCCGCCUCUCAGUGCUGCAGCUAACGCAUUAAGCACUCCGCCUGGGGAGUACGACCGCAAGUUG